rnacentral:lncRNA from 1 species
CCGCGGUUAGUUGGGAGGAACCGAGAUUUACGCUUGUUCUGGAGGCUGGGAAGUCCAAGGGCGAGGGGCUGGCAUCUGGUAAAGGCCUUCUUGCCACACCAUUCCAUGGGGGAAGAUGGAAGAGCAAGAGGACACACAGCAAGAGACAGCUAAAUUCAUUUUUACAACACAUGCUCAUGAUAACGAACCCACUCUGAUAAUGACAUUAAUGCAUUCAUGAAGGCAGAACCCUCAUGGCCUAAUCGCUUCUUAAUGGUUCCACCUCUUAAUACCAUCACAAUGGCA